rnacentral:rRNA from 1 species
UACGUAGGGUGCGAGCGUUUGUCCGGAAUUAUUGGGCGUAAAGGGCUCGUAGGCGGUUUGUCGCGUCGGGAGUGAAAACCAUGAGCUUAACUCAUGGCUUGCUUUCGAUACGGGCAGACUAGAGGCAUGCAGGGGAGAACGGAAUUCCUGGUGUAGCGGUGAAAUGCGCAGAUAUCAGGAGGAACACCGGUGGCGAAGGCGGUUCUCUGGGCAUGUCCUGACGCUGAGGAGCGAAAGUGUGGGGAGCGAACAGG